rfam:Pelodiscus sinensis unplaced genomic scaffold scaffold237, whole genome shotgun sequence.
GAUCCCAUGGUGUAAUGGUUAGCACACAAGACUCUGACUCCUGCAGUCUGAGUUCAAAUCUCAGUGGGACCU